ensembl:miRNA
AAGAGUAUUAAGUUGGUGCAAAAGUAAUUGCAGUUUUUGCCAUAACUUUCAGCAGCAAAACUGCAAUUACUUUUGCACCAACCCAAUA